CCCUUACGAUCUCUCUCUCUCUCUUCCUCCGCCGGCUGCAGUGCUUCUCUUCUCAUCCCAGCAGCCUGGCAGCUUCAUCCGUGUUCCUCCCUCCUGGACGGAGAAGCACGCUCAGCCUUUCUGAUAGUCCCCCCCACCCCUCUGUGUGCCUCCCUUAAAAAAAAAAACAGGCCCCUUCAACAGCUCCUUUUCCUACUUGUCUCAGUGCCUGAUCACCGUCCGCUCUCUUCUCCACUUACAUUCAUGAUCUGUUCUUUUUGUUCAUUUGUUCCGUAGUUUUCUUUCCACAAAAUCCCACAGUCGUAGAGCGAAAGCAGUUCAGAGCACAGUUUGAAUGAAGAGUAGGAAAUGGGCUGAUAGGAUGGGUAGGAGGAAAAGAAAAACGUGGUUUGGGAAGAAACGCUAAGAGGAGAGAAGUGACUGCCGCUGGGAUAGCGGAGAGAGGAGGAAGGACCCGGAGCAACGGGAGAAAGAGCCAAACGUGGGAUCAGCGAAACCGCGGGAAAAGGAGGAACGGCCAAACUGAUCACAGUUUCUUCUUUCACUGGAAGAAGUGGCAGUUACAUAAGAAAGCAAGUAAAGAAUGCUGAGGGACUAACAUUUGGACUGGUCGUUGUUAUUCCUUCUGCAGGAAUGGAAUGACGGAAAGAAUUUCAGCUUGUAUGCAGAAAAAAGGACACAUAAAGCAAUCGGAACCACUGAAAAUUCAGUAUAUUUGAAGUUUAUAUCAUAAGGGUUUGGAAAUACAUCCUGGUGAGUAAUCAGUUUAAAUUAAAGUAUUUGAUAAAUUUUGGCCAAUU